ACCAUACGAUGUCGACUUGGAGGUUGUGCCCUUGAGGCGUGGCUUCCGGAGCUAACGCGUUAAGUCGACCGCCUGGGGAGUACGGCCGCAAGGUUAAAACUCAAAUGAAUUGACGGGGGCCCGCACAAGCGGUGGAGCAUGUGGUUUAAUUCGAUGCAACGCGAAGAACCUUACCUGGUCUUGACAUCCACGGAAGUUUUCAGAGAUGAGAAUGUGCCUUCGGGAACCGUGAGACAGGUGCUGCAUGGCUGUCGUCAGCUCGUGUUGUGAAAUGUUGGGUUAAGUCCCGCAACGAGCGCAACCCUUAUCCUUUGUUGCCAGCGGUCCGGCCGGGAACUCAAAGGAGACUGCCAGUGAUAAACUGGAGGAAGGUGGGGAUGACGUCAAGUCAUCAUGGCCCUUACGACCAGGGCUACACACGUGCUACAAUGGCGCAUACAAAGAGAAGCGACCUCGCGAGAGCAAGCGGACCUCAUAAAGUGCGUCGUAAUCCGGAUUGGAGUCUGCAACUCGACUCCAUGAAGUCGGAAUCGCUAGUAAUCGUGGAUCAGAAUGCCACGGUGAAUACGUUCCCGGGCCUUGUACACACCGCCCGUCACACCAUGGGAGUGGGUUGCAAAAGAAGUAGGUAGCUUAACCUUCGGGAGGGCGCUUACCACUUUGUGAUUCAUGACUGGGGUGAAGUCGAAAAGGGGGACCCCCUAA
rnacentral:rRNA from 1 species